rnacentral:rRNA from 1 species
AGAGUUUGAUCCUGGCUCAGGACGAACGCUGGCGGCGCGCUUAACACAUGCAAGUCGAGCGAGAACCAAGCCUUCGGGCUUGGGGACAGCGGCGAACGGGUGAGUAACACGUGGGUAAUCAACCCUCGACACUGGGAUAGCCCGGGGAAACCCGGAUUAAUACCGGAUACUCCAUCUGGCUUUCGGGCCGGCUGGAAAAGGUAGCUUCGGCCUCCGGUCGGGGACGAGCCCGCGGCGGAUUAGCUUGUUGGUGGGGUAAAAGCCCACCAAGGCGACGAUCCGUAGCUGGUCUGAGAGGACGAUCAGCCACACUGGGACUGAGACACGGCCCAGACUCCUACGGGAGGCAGCAGUGGGGAAUCUUGCGCAAUGGGCGAAAGCCUGACGCAGCGACGCCGCGUGAGGGAAGAAGGCCUUCGGGUUGUAAACCUCUUUCAGGAGGGACGAAGCCACUCAGGUUAAUAGCCGAGAGGGUGACGGUACCUCCAGAAGAAGCCCCGGCUAACUACGUGCCAGCAGCCGCGGUAAUACGUAGGGGGCAAGCGUUGUCCGGAUUUAUUGGGCGUAAAGAGCGUGUAGGCGGCCAUACAGGUCAGCUGUGAAAACUCGAGGCUCAACCUCGAGACGUCGGUUGAAACCGUAUGGCUAGAGUCCGGAAGAGGAGAGUGGAAUUCCCGGUGUAGCGGUGAAAUGCGCAGAUAUCGGGAAGAACACCUAUGGCGAAGGCAGCUCUCUGGGACGGUACUGACGCUGAGACGCGAAAGCGUGGGGAGCAAACAGGAUUAGAUACCCCAGUAGUCC